GGUUAAGCGACCAAGCGUACACGGUGGAUGCCCUGGCAGUCAGAGGCGAUGAAGGGCGUGCUAAUCUGCGAUAAGCGCCGGUAAGGUGAUAUGAACCGUUAUAACCGGCGAUACCCGAAUGGGGAAACCCAGUGUGAUUCGUCACACUAUCAUUAACUGAAUCCAUAGGUUAAUGAGGCGAACCGGGGGAACUGAAACAUCUAAGUACCCCGAGGAAAAGAAAUCAACCGAGAUUCCCCCAGUAGCGGCGAGCGAACGGGGAGGAGCCCAGAGCCUGAAUCAGCAUGUGUGUUAGUGGAAGCGUCUGGAAAGGCGCGCGAUACAGGGUGA
rnacentral:rRNA from 1 species